rnacentral:misc_RNA from 1 species
GAUGAAGAACGUAGCGAAAUGCGAUAAGUAAUGUGAAUUGCAGAAUUCAGUGAAUCAUCGAAUCUUUGAACGCACCUUGCGCCCUUUGGCCAUUCCGAAGGGCAUGCCUGUUUGAGUAUCAUGAACACCUCAACUCUCAUGGCUCGCCAUGAUGAGCUUGGACUUUGGGGGUCUUGCUGGCCUGUGGUCGGCUCCUCUCAAAUGGAUCAGCUUGCCAGUGUUUGGUGGCAUCACAGGUGUGAUAACUAUCUGCGCUUGUGGUUUUCCAUCAGAUAACCUUCAGUGAUGGAGGUUCGCUGGAGCUCAUAAACGUCUCCCCUAAGCGGGGACAGCCCUUUGAAUGUUUAAUCUCAAAUCAGGUAGGACUACCCGCUGAACUUAAGCAUAUCAAUAAGCGGAGGA